rnacentral:lncRNA from 1 species
UGGCGUGCUUUAUUUACAAACCCCAGACACCAGCUCAUGCAUUAUUAAGGAGAGAAGGCAGCCUGCCCUGAGCCCUGGCCAGGAAGGACAGCUAGCAGGGGACACAGUCGGAUGUUCUCAGGAUGCGCACACCUUCCUGGAAUAGCUUACGACAAAGACAGGAAGAGUAAUCAACUAACAGGAAUCAGCGACUCUGAAGAGGAGAAGCCCUGAGUUAGGAGAAGACAAAGAGCGACACAGGGAACAUUCUGGAAGUCAGGCUCUCUGGUGCUGCCCAAGCCACUGACUUGCCUUAUGAAUAUCUGCUUUGCCUAACCUUCCUUUAGGAAAUGUAUGAGAAGGUGUGAAAAUGACUUGGGAAAAUAGUUGAAGUACUUUUUUAAAUGUAGAAGAAGCAUUUAA